rnacentral:rRNA from 1 species
GAUGAACGCUGGCGGCGUGCUUAACACAUGCAAGUCGAACGAUGAAGCCCAGCUUGCUGGGUGGAUUAGUGGCGAACGGGUGAGUAACACGUGAGUAACCUGCCCUUAACUCUGGGAUAAGCCUGGGAAACUGGGUCUAAUACCGGAUAGGAGCGUCCACCGCAUGGUGGGUGUUGGAAAGAUUUAUCGGUUUUGGAUGGACUCGCGGCCUAUCAGCUUGUUGGUGAGGGAAUGGCUCACCAAGGCGACGACGGGUAGCCGGCCUGAGAGGGUGAACGGCCACACUGGGACUGAGACACGGCCCAGACUCCUACGGGAGGCAGCAGUGGGGAAUAUUGCACAAUGGGCGCAAGCCUGAUGCAGCGACGCCGCGUGAGGGAUGACGGCCUUCGGGUUGUAAACCUCUUUCAGUAGGGAAGAAGCGAAAGUGACGGUACCUGCAGAAGAAGCACCGGCUAACUACGUG